AGGUCAUUAAUAUCCGACCCGUGUGCGGCUUCUGAUCAGAGAUCAUAUAACCUUCCUCUCUAUCUGGUUGAAGGGUUGUAUGCUCCUUUCCACAUCCUCAAUAAACCUAUUUUUUUUUUUUUUUGUCUUAUACUUUUGCUUCUAUAUUGCACCAGAAAACUAACAUUUCGGUGCUUUGAGACUCGGAUGGCAGAGCAUGCUAGCUCCUGGGAGUCACUCCUAGUCAAGCUCCCCUGCCUACGAACCACCUUUCCUUCCUCUGGGACCCGUUUAUUUGCCAACUCUAAUCUGCAUGCAACACCAACCAACACUCCUCAGUCAUCACAGAUCCAGACAUCUGCAUUUUUCUUGUGCUCCAGCCAAAAGAUUCAAGUCAAACAACGUGAAGUCAUCAGUCAAACAAUUCCUUUUACUGACCUCCACCAGAUCUUUUCCAGAAAAAGGAUAUAUGAUGCAUAUUGAGGCUAUAAUUAACCACAAUUGAGGCUUAAAUGGCACCACAGCUGAUCUCUCUCCUAAAUAAAAAAGCAGUGGUAGUUGGAGCUCUAAGACAAGUAAACCAUGACAAGGUGAGCUGCCCAAGCCCCUCCUGGACCAUGCUGCAAGUGACAAAAAGGAUGCUGGGCAAGAGAGUGCCUCCUUUGCAACCUCAAGGGCCAUUGGAAGAGUGACUGUCCAGCCACCAGAGAGCAGGAUGUGAUCGUUCACCAACAAAAAACUCCUUGUCCUGGCUGAAACACCUGGUACCAGUCUCUACACGGGCAUCAACCAUCAUCCCAUCAACCUCCUGGACCCCAACAGGAUGCCCUCAUCGAGCAGGAAAUGUCAAAUGACCGUGUAAAAUUGCAAGUGACUUUCAGAACACACCCAGGCAUAUUUAAAGAAGUUAGCACCUCAGAUGGCUUCAGCCUCACCAAUCAACUGUGCUACUCCCUACUACACCCUGGUGAAUGAAUGCUGGCUGAGCUGGAGCCCUGCACACCCGGCCAAGGGUCCCCCAACACUGCCCAACCUCUGUCCCCCUACAGUUGAAAACAGCUGAGCAGGAGCGACUGCCUCUGCUCACAGUGUCAUAAAACUCCACCGAAUGAAGAAGAAACAAAAAUGGUGAUACUUUUUUUAAACGCAAACCUCCCUCACUGCUGAUCUCUUCUUGUCUUGGAGUUGACUGUUCUUUCCUUCAGUAAAAGGGCCAGGAUUACUAUAGAUGAGUAACAGCCAGAAGUGUCCCCAUGGAUCAGAAUGCAGCCCUGUGUGUCAUGGCGUUGUUAUCGAGGGGCAACACCCUUCACUCCUCUCAAACCUCACCUAUUGGGAAAUUUAGCAGCUGUCUACACAGCACCCACCCACUUACUUGUCCUCAGAGAAUUUGUGCUUGCUGUUGGAUUAUGAAAAAGUGGAAAGCCCUUGGUUUCAUAGUCCUUGAACAUUGACACAGUGCUGAGGAAAUGAAAGCCAACAAUCAAGCUGGAAGGUUUCCACCCUGAAAUGUUAGGAGGAGCAGGGGACAUGGCAGGGAACAAAUGCCAGGGGCUCUGUUCCUGGGGAAGCAGUGCUUACAGGCAGACCUGGGUGUGUUAUCAAAAGGAGGAGCCUCGCUCAGCCCUGCUCAACAGCAGCAGGCUGCAGAGAUAGGCUGGGAGUGGAGAGGAAGAUAAACUCACUCAGGACACCACAUAGUCAGUGGACGGACUUCCUCUAAAUGCUUGCAAAAUGCCCUCUGUUGAUUCCCAGAAAUGACUAGAAGGUCUGCCCAAGGACUACACAUUUCUACCAGAAGAUUCAGAGAAAAAAAUAAUAAAAGCGUUAUGUAU